rnacentral:rRNA from 1 species
GCCUACGGGACGCAGCAGUAGGGAAUCUUCCACAAUGGGCGAAAGCCUGAUGGAGCAACGCCGCGUGGGUGAAGAAGGUCUUCGGAUCGUAAAACCCUGUUGUUAGAGAAGAAAGUGCGUGAGAGUAACUGUUCACGUUUCGACGGUAUCUAACCAGAAAGCCACGGCUAACUACGUGCCAGUAGCCGCGGUAAUACGUAGGAUGCGAGCGUUAUCCGGAAUUACUGGGUGUAAAGGGAGCGCAGGCGGGACUGCAAGUUGGAUGUGAAAUACCGCAGCUUAACUGCGGAGCUGCAUCCAAAACU